AGCCCACCAACUAAUGUCAGGAGACAAAAGCAGAAAUACAGCCUUGGAGAUGGAAGUCAGCAAGAAAACCAGCAAGAAACCACAGAGUCAAACCAGCAUUCAAAGAUAAAAAUGGCAUGCUUAAGAGCAAAGGGAAAGAAGAAAGUAGAGGGCCCACUCAGGAUCACAGAGCUGAAGAUAAAGACUAAAGCCAGAGAAGAAAAAGGGCAUUUUCAUAUAUCCAGUUGAAAGAGUUCAUGGUUCUCUGAUACUGAAUCCAAACAUACAUUGAAAUACAGAACGUGGCAGAUCAUGUGGGGAGAAUUACAAUUCCUAGGAAGUCAUGAGAAAAUUGUCAUGUUGAUUUAAGCAAGUGUAUUAUCUGUCAGGGUAAAAAUGAUAAAAAAAUUACUACAACUUCAAAUGGAUGAAAAUGAAUCAUGGAAGCAUCAGAGAUUAGGAAUGAUAUUGUCAUAAAAAGACUGAGACAAGUGUAGACUGAUACAGGCAGUCCUUGACUUACAACAUUUCGAGUUACAACAUUUCACACUUACAACAUUUAUAAAUUGACAACUUGUUUCAACUUUCUGAUGUCAGUUUCGACUUUACAACACUUGAGCUGAUGCCACGCUAUACCAGUGGACAAGUCUUCUGCAUCACCCAUCUCCCUGGAGAACAU